rnacentral:lncRNA from 1 species
AUUUCCUCCAGGGCUCCUGCUCUUUGGUCUUCUCCUCCUUCUCCCUCAAAGGCCAGCCUUUCCCGUCUGCCUGGGCGCAUCUCCACAUCUUCACCCCCUUUUCUGUUCUUCUCCGCGACUGCUGAGUCUUGAGAACUGAGACCCUUGGGCCAGGCAAUAACAGCUUGUGCUACCUUCUAUUCCAUUCAUCCUCACAGCCUUAAACCUGUACAGCCCCGGACUCUUCUCCAUUCCACUUGCAAAAAGCGGUUUCAACACUCUGAGAUAAGGGCUGCAGGUAUUGACACUAUCAAGAAGAUAAGUACUUAAGGACAUGACUCAAACAAGCAAUGUGUCUCUUCAGAACCCCUCCCAGCUCUUCCCGAACGUGUGCCCUCGCUCGCUCGAGGAUGGCAGCUUCCUCCUGAGUUACAGUCUGCGUUUGCAGUGCCAGUGCACAGAGCCGGACUGCUAAAAGUCAGAGACGUUUGAUGUGGUCGACGUCCCCGUUUCUUCUCAUGUGCUUGAUGGAUGUUAAUUAGUCGUUUUAGGUUCCCUCUUAAUGACUUCCUUUUAAAGGUCUCCCUGAACCUAUACUCUUUCAAGACAAUUCUAUAUAGAGCACACAUCUGAAGUGUCGCACGUGGCUUGUUGAAAACAAUUAAGCUUCUUCAUUGUGUGGCUCCCACCGCUCUGGCCCCCUUCUUUUUCAUUAGUUUUACUGACUUUAAAUGUCAAGUAAAAAAUGUUAGGAAAAAAUACAGUUAAAUUAUAUUCACAUGAACAAGUUGCCAUAGAAGGCAGAACUGUUUGACCAAAACAUAUAAACAAUAUCCCCAGACAUAUGUGUGCACAUAUGCAUACAUAUGGGUAUGUUUAGAUCUGUAUCUUCAGACACCAAAUGGCAAUCACGAGCUUUGAAGAUUAACUCCGCUUUAGAAAACAAAAAAAGAGGGGUGCUGUAAAGAGAGUGAAGCUUUGAAAUGCGUCUGUGUGCCAUGUGAGAUGCAUUUAGGGUUUCCAAAGGGAAUCAAAGGCUUUCAAUUUCAACAGAAGUAAAUGGCUGUCAUUAUUAAUA